rnacentral:tRNA from 2 species
GCCCUUGUAGUUCAACGGAUAGAACUUCGCACCCCUAACGCGAAAAUCCAAGUUCGAUUCUUGGCAAGGGCA